AAUUUGUCGGACGGCUGGAACCUACGAAAUCACAUUUAUCUAUAUACUCCUAUGCAUCUAGUUAGUGUAGUUUAUCAUUUCGCCUAUCUUUUGUCAUGCAAUAUUAUUAGAUUAAUUAUUUAUUUAUCAUAGCUUCUAUCAUUUUUCUUAACCGUGUUAAUAAAGUGGCUGACCUGGCACUACUGGAAAAUCAUUUUUUUGUGACUGCCCCACAGAUUUCGUGAUGGCGAUGUAAACACAGUCACCAAGAAGACAUAUCAUGACAGGCAUUAGAACACCAUCACGAAAUUGGGUGUUUCGUGACUAGGAAGAGCAGCCAGUCACCGAGUUAUAGAGUUGGUGACGGUGCAGUAAUAUAAAGCCCUCACCAUACUGUGUGAUGGACUUAAAUGGGCCAAGCUGCUCUGCCUCUGUCUGAAAUUGUGAACCACUAAAAACAGAGUGCUCUUCUCGUUCCCCAUGGCUCUUGCCCUAGUGAGCUCCACGCCUCCACCUCGACGCCGCAACUCUGCUCGUCGAUUCGUCGCCGGUAGUGAUGCCGGCGAAGGAGCCCGUACAUUCUCACCUCACCGUUGGUCUUGCCUCCCUUGCUCUCCUCUCUGACGGGCGUGCCGCCGCUGCUCUCCUCACGGUGGGUUUCGCCGCCGUCCCCGUGUCUUGUCCGUGGGUCGCGUCACCAUUGCUCUUCUCGCCGUGAGGAUCCUACAGCGAGUUUACUGCAGAUCAAUGACAUCACCUGAAGUAUCUGUUGAACAUCCACAAGACUGUUCUAAUCAGUCUGAAGAAUGGGACACAGAGGAAGACUGCUGUUUUUGAUGCAUCAGAACUAGAAUUUUGAUAAUUGUAGAAUUGUUCUUUUAUGGAAAGCUCAGAAGACUUCCUUUUUUCACGUGGAGCUUGCUUUAUGAGUGGCCACCGAAGGCUGCUUCCCUCUAUUCUAUGGCAUUAUAUUGGGCUUGUCACUUCAAGAAUUGUUGGACUGAUACAAGACUUGUGUAGAAAUUUGUAGUGCAUAAUUAAAUAUUGUUUUUCUAUGAAUUAUGUAAGGACUCACGAUGUUCAAUGCUAAUAUAUGCUUUUGUGAGUUUGAAUUUGGACUUGGGUAAAAUAAGUGAUUUUGUUGUAUUAUAUCUGAA